UACGGAGGGUGCAAGCGUUAAUCGGAAUUACUGGGCGUAAAGCGCACGCAGGCGGUUUGUUAAGUCAGAUGUGAAAUCCCCGAGCUUAACUUGGGAACUGCAUUUGAAACUGGCAAGCUAGAGUCUUGUAGAGGGGGGUAGAAUUCCAGGUGUAGCGGUGAAAUGCGUAGAGAUCUGGAGGAAUACCGGUGGCGAAGGCGGCCCCCUGGACAAAGACUGACGCUCAGGUGCGAAAGCGUGGGGAGCAAAC
rnacentral:rRNA from 1 species